UGGUUAUCAUGGAUUCUUGAGGAACUGC
rnacentral:piRNA from 1 species